UUUACCUAAAGCAAGGGCUACAGCCUGGCCAUUCCAUCCCAAGGGGGCGGACACCUUUUGCUUCCACCCCUCCAUCAGAGUCAGUAGAUAUUUACUGGAACCCUAGCGGUGAGAGCGCUCCCUGCUUCUCCAGGCGCAGCGGAAGGCUUUCGCUUCCUUCGAGAGCCGGCUCCAGGAAGUGGGCGGGGUUUUACGCCGGCCGGAAAGACAGUUCCAGAGGUGUCCUGCUCUGCGCCCGGGAGCGCAGGGUUUAGAGGCAGGGAAAAGCGAUCUGAAUGAGUGCAGGCUCCGUGUCUGGGGCUCCCAUGAAUUCCAUGAAUUCCACGCUUUUCCAGCUAGUGAUGGGUUUGUGAAAUUGUUACUUUUCUUCUUACUCCCUUGUGGCUGCCGCGUCUCCCUUCCAGUGCUGUUUAAAAGCAUCAGUUGCAGUUAGGUGUGACCAUGUGAUCGUGUUCUGGCAAACAGGAAGAAGAAGAAAAGGGGAAAGGAAAUAAUGAAGAAACGGCCAUUGCUCUGCCAUUUUUCUAUCAGCUUUAGCUGAAAAAAACUGCUUUGAUGUGCUUCAUUACAAGUUAUGUACUUAACAAUAUAAAGGAUAAAGCAUUUUGCUGAAUUGGGAGAGAGAUUUCAACAUUUUCUAAAGGAAAUUCACACCUAAAAUGGAGAAAAGGUUUACAGUGAAGGACUCUGAUGUAUAAAGAAUUAAGAAGAUCAGAGAGGUUCCUGGGAAAUUAAGUAUUCAAAGCCAGAAGACCAAGUUUCUACGUUCUAGUCAUCCUGUAACCCUACUCCUGUCUGGCUUCUCAUUUGAGGGACCUAUCACAGCUAUCUGACACAACCAUGGUGAUAAACAUAAUCAGCACAGGCACUCCCAUUUUUAGACUUUCAAGGAAAAUAGACUUUGACAUACAUAAAUCUGACUUGAUCUUUAAAACCCUACCAAUAAAAUAGCCCUCUAAUCACACCAUAAGUUUACCAUCAAGAUUUUCACCAAGUGAAAGAUUUUCACAAAGCUAAAGUGACACACGUAUGGAACUAUCACGAAGAGAGAGUAAAUAUAGUGAGUGACCUCUGAGAAACAACAGGUACAAACACUAGGUUUUGUUCCAGAUGCUCGAGCAAGCUGAGGUCUACCCACUAUUUAAGUGGGAUAGGUAUUUCCCUCAAUUAGUUAUGGAGUCAUACACAACAUCUCUAAAUGGUUCAGAACUCAACUUCUUGCCAGAAAGUUAAAGUAGAACUGUACAGAGUUUCUACUUUAAAGAUGUGGGUAUGCAACUUUUGAAAGCAAAUUGCAAGGUAAAAGAACCCACACUAGAUUAGGUCAUUUGAAAAACACUGUUUUAUAGCAUCUUCAAAUGGCGUAUCUGUGCGGUCAUGUUCCCUGCUGAAAUGUGCUCUCUUAUUUUCUCUCUCUCUGAAACAUUGAUAAUACUGGAAUUCUACUAAAGUAAGUAGUUUAGUGGUUUGGGAACUAAUAUCACUGAAGUAAAAAAAAAUUAUAUUUGGAAAUAUUGAAUAACCUUUUUAUCUCUCUUUAAUAAAGAAUGAAACAGACCAAUUUACCAUGUUAAAGGGAAGUCUAUGAUCUAUGAUCGAUAUCUCUUUGAUAUUUAAGUAGAUUUUUUAUUGGUUUUUGUUUAUAAAACAGUAUCCACUGUUUGCAGGCCUUUCCUAACAGCCUAAUUGUCUUGUCAGUUUGAUUUUAUAUUUUUUAAAAAUUAAAGCUGCUGUAUUA